CCCUUAGAUGUUCUGGGCCGCACGCGCGCUACACUGACGGAGGCAGCGAGCGUGUCCUUCGCCGGCAGGUGCGGGCAAUCUUGCGAGUCUCCGUCGUGCCGGGGAUAGAUGGUUGCAAUUGUCGAUCUUGAACGAGGAAUUCCUAGUAAGCGCGAGUCAUCAGCUCGCGCUGAUUACGUCCCUGCCCUUUGUACACACCGCCCGUCGCUACUACAGAGUGCCCGUGUCCAAGAAACGGUCGGACCUGUGCGGCCUCUCCGGGCGACCGGAGGGCCGUUACGGGGAAGACCCUUUAUUUGACGCGGGUCGAUGAAGUAAAAGUCGUAACA
rnacentral:rRNA from 1 species